UACGUAGGGUGCGAGCGUUAAUCGGAAUUACUGGGCGUAAAGCGUGCGCAGGCGGUUAUUUAAGUCAGGUGUGAAAGCCCUGGGCUUAACCUAGGAAUUGCGCUUGAGACUGGAUAGCUUGGAGUGCGGCAGAGGGAGGUGGAAUUCCACGUGUAGCAGUGAAAUGCGUAGAGAUGUGGAGGAACACCGGUGGCGAAGGCGGAUCUCUGGGCCAUUACUGACGCUGAGGAGCGAAAGCGUGGGGAGCGAACAGG
rnacentral:rRNA from 1 species